rnacentral:misc_RNA from 1 species
UUCUGAAUGUUGGCUGGGCAUGGGAACUGGAGGGCGCGGUCGACCAUGUUCCGGACAUGUCCAGCGACUGGUCUUGGCGGAGUUGGGAGGAGCUGACGCCCAAAUCGCAUAUGACAUCAUCCGCCGCCACGGUCGCAGAAUUCCUUCCCGGUAAUCCGAUGUCGAGAGGACCUCAGCAUAGGACUUCCACCGCGGCCAAAAAAUCCCGAGUGUCGCUCUGCUGCGCGCAAACUACUCAUGCUUAGACGUUUGCCUCCGUCCACGACACGACUGACCCUUGUUCUGAUUUCCUCCCGGAAUUGUUGGUUCAGCCAGCUUGGCAUUGGUGGUCCGUAGCCUGCGUCAUGAGCCGCUAAUUCAGGACCGAUUUUGGGCACCA